rnacentral:rRNA from 1 species
GACGAACGCUGGCGGCGUGCUUAACACAUGCAAGUCGAACGGAAAGGCCUCUUUCGGGGGGUACUCGAGUGGCGAACGGGUGAGUAACACGUGAGUAACCUGCCCUUGACUUUGGGAUAACUUCAGGAAACUGGGGCUAAUACCGGAUAGGAGCUCCUGCUGCAUGGUGGGGGUUGGAAAGUUUCGGCGGUUGGGGAUGGACUCGCGGCUUAUCGGCUUGUUGGUGGGGUAGUGGCUUACCAAGGCCUUGGCGGGUAGCCGGCCUGGGAGGGUGACCGGCCACAUUGGGACUGAGAUACGGCCCAGACUCCUACGGGAGGCAGCAGUGGGGAAUAUUGCACAAUGGGUGGAAGCCUGAUGCAGCAACGCCGUGUGCGGGAUGACGGCCUUCGGGUUGUAAACCGCUUUCGCUCAUGACGAAGCUUUGUGUGACGGUAGUGGGUAAAGAAGCACCGGCUAACUACGUG